rnacentral:rRNA from 1 species
UAGUCCACGCCGUAAACGAUGGAUACUAGGUGUCCGGGAUAUUAACCUCCUGGGUACUACAGUUAACGCGUUAAGUAUCCCGCCUGGGGAGUACGGUCGCAAGGCUAAAACUCAAAGGAAUUGACGGGGGCCCGCACAAGCGGUGGAGUAUGUGGUUUAAUUCGAAGCAACGCGCAGAACCUUACCUACCCUUAACAUUUCACGACGUAUACAGAGAUGUAUAUUUCUCUUCGGAGACGUGAGGAUAGGUGCUGCAUGGCUGUCGUCAGCUCGUGUCGUAAGAUGUCUGGUUAAGUCCCGCAACGAGCGCAACCCUCACCCUUAGUUACCAGCGGGUUAUGCCGGGCACUCUAAGGGAACUGCCCGUGAUAAGCGGGAGGAAGGUGGGGAUGACGUCAAGUCAUCAUGGCCCUCACAGGGUGGGCUACACACGUGCUACAAUGGCGGUGACAAUGGGUUGCUAGACCGUAAGGUCAUGCUAAUCUCUAAAAGCCGCCUCAGUUCAGAUUGGGGUCCGCAACUCGACCCCA